CCUGUCCUGUACUGGUUUUCACUAAGCCAACUGUGAGAUUUCUUUGUUGCAAUAUUGGGGUCUGAGAUAACACUGCUGGAGGCUGGAGGCAAGAAACAUAGCCGAAACCAUCUUUUAGUGUGUGCUGUUAUUUACUAGCGCUGUGAACCAAGGAAGCGAAAAAACAAAGAGCCCGAAGACUGCACAGUUCCAGCUUGUAGGCCCUGGAGACAGUCUGGAGUCCUCAGACGGACAGAAAGAAGACAUCAGAAGGGCAACCUGUGGUGCCUGUGGCUGCUGAGUACAGGAUAUGAAUCAGAGAGAAAGAAGUAAAAUCUUGUCCUAGGAAGAAAGGGAGCGAUUGGCAGAAGACUUGUCUCUGGCGUGGGUGACUGAUUUUUAAGAAAUCGGCAACACGGAAGCUGAUUAUAAAAUAUUCAUAAGAAGCUGGCUUUUACAGCCCAUGUAAAAGGAACCUACAGGAAGAACGAAUGCUGUCACUCAACUUGAUUCUGCCAUUGUCAAGACAUUUGAGUUUCAGAACUUCAUCAUCCAAAGGCAUAAGUAGGUGAUUUCUGGGAUGUCUAGAGCAUUGAGAAACGUGCAAUUCUGAGAUGCUUACUGUGGAACCAUUGCUUGCAUGCAGUAGACUCUUACUUCUGAGCCUUUGUAUAAUUCUGUCCUAUAGUAUGGGAAAAUACUUUCCCAGCUCUCUUCCCAUACUGUCAAAGAGGCAUGGACGAGCUGGUAAGGAGGAGUUUACAGCAAUGGCUACUACCAUCAGGCUACUGACCCAGAGGGCAACGGAAGAGAAGCACAGAAUCUGUGUGUGUGAGUCCGUGGUUUGUAGAUCACUAGGGUAACAAAGAAAAGGGAAUUAGCUUCUGCCAAGGUAAUAUAUAUAAUCAAACACUGCAUGUCACUUUCCAGGGCAGAUUAUCUCAGUAACAGAAAGGAUGAGAAAGGCACAACUCACUACCUCCUUUCUCAUUCCCCGUCUUUGCUUUCUCUGGAUAAAUAUCAUAUGCUUAGUAGUCUGCCACUAACUGCAGUGUGGAGCACAUAAGAGCUGCCAUGGCUCUUCUCAGCCGUUUUCCAUCCGUCACUGAUAUCCCACUGUUCUGGGCUAAUGCGAAAUGCAAUAACGUUUAGCAUCAGAACAUAUCUGAGUCAAGAGGUUAAGGGAAAACACAUCUCCCAUUGUGUUCCAGCAGCUCCGAUACUGUUCAUGGCAAAACACCAUGGAGACAAAUAGAUCUCUCUCUAUUCAGGAAGCUCUGAGUGCACAGAAAAUGUAUGUGACAUCCUUACAGCAUGAGAGCCUUCUCUGUACGGUGCAUUAAAGGCAGGGGUGGCACAGGGGAGAAGUUCACCUAACGUGGUGUCUGAUAAGGCUUGGCCAUUGUCUACAGGGAGGAUUCUGUCUUCUGUAUUUUCUCUGGAUUGCUUUAAUAAACGUGUGCGGUUCUAGCAGGGGAAAGAGAUGCAACCUUUACAGAUAUAACUGGGGGAAAAAGAGGAUUCUGAACAAACAAGGUAAAAAGCUCUAUGUGGUAUUUUUCUUAAUUACAACCCCAAAAGGUAUUAGAUACACACUGACUCUUUUCUUUACAUUCCAUAGGAGUGCAUCUUGCUUCUCUCUGCUGUCUGCUUUAGGCAUGAGGGACACAAAAUCUAUAUAUUUGAGGAAGGCAGACAGACAAAAAAAAGAAAAGAAAAAAAGCAAUAAAUUAUGAUUUUGC
rnacentral:lncRNA from 1 species